UGAUGCACCUUUGCUGAUUUCGGAUAAGGAAUGCUAUGAUUUGGUUGGUGUUUCAGCUUCAUCUCUUAUAGAGAAGUAUGCUGAGAGACCUCAUGGUUGGGUUCUACCUGAGUUGCAAUCUAUUAGUGGGAAAGCCUGUAUUGUUUAGGAUUUCAAUGAAGAAAUAAAGAGCAGAUGAACAUUCUGCUCUCUGCAUUUGUGGUGUUAGGGGUGUGUAAGGAUGUAGAUGUUUCAAAAUAUUGUGGGAAUAUGGAACCUGAAGUGCAUAUCACAGAUCAAAACCAGGAGGAUUGGUUUCGCUGACUUUGAAAUGGUUGGGUUUGAUGAGGUGGUUUAUCUGGAAGUGUUGGGAGCACACUAAAGAGGUCAGUAAUGGAUGAGUUCAAUCAGUCUGAAGAUCCUAAAAGAAUUAAGACUUCAGUGAUCAAGUUAGAAAAAAUAUGAUGCUAUCUCUAAUUCUAUGUUAUCUUACUCUAAUAUAACUAGACUUUGUUCUACAUACAAAGUAUGUAUUCUGUUUUGGGACUUUAUGGACAAUAUAUAUGAAUAUUGUCUUUUGCUA